rnacentral:lncRNA from 1 species
GCGGUGCGCUCCCUGCCCUCCCUCAGGCUGAGUCCAGGCUGGGUCCUGAGGCGUGCAGGAGUGUGCGCACAGACUUGCUGCAUUAUCGCGGUAAGUCCUGCUGCUUUCUAAAUCUUACCAGAAUGUCCUUUAGAAAAAUGGUAAGUCUCUCCUGUAAUAUGGCUUCAUGUUCCAGGCUGCAAAGAGAUUAUCUAGUUUGUUUUUUUUUUUAAGCUGUAUUUUGGUAUCAGCUCAUUUCUUGGAUUUUAUCCAUUAAUACUAAAAAACUGCUUGGUCAUGAGUGGGGUGGCAGUUUUCUCUUUGAUACUUUGAUGGAUACUUGCUACUUUGGUUUUCAGAGUGUUGUUCUUAAGACUUCCUAGAAAAUUGAGAGUCUGUUAGUGUGUUGUGUAUUAGAGAGAGGCUGCUCAGCUUCUCGUAGGCAUUGAACUUUGGGUGGUCAGAGAUUACAGAUGUUCCUAAUUGGUUUGGAGAAUUAAAAUAGCUCGCGUUUUUGAGCAUCAGAUUUUAGAACCCAGCAGGUAAAUUUUAUUCCAGUGACAUCAGAUAAUAAAAUCUUUUUCUUAAAACAUUUCACACCAAAGCUACCAAAGGAAAAGUGAAAAGUGACAGUCAAAAACGAGAAGCGAAAGUUCCCAAAACCUGGCUGUUUUGUUUAGUGCUUCAGAAGGAAGAAUAUCGGCACUGCAGUCUUCGUAUGCUGGAAUUAGCUUCACGGUCCAUUAAAAGAAGCACAAAUUUAGCUUUGUAUAUUGCAGUCCUUCAUAUUCAGAGAUGACGCAAGUUGCAAAGAAUUUUGAUUCAUCUUGCUUAAGAUAAGAGUGUGUAUAACAAGCUGAAAUUAUGACUUCUUAGUGUUGUCAGCUUUUUUAUUUUGUGCCCUUGGUUUCACUGCUGUGUUGUACUUAAUUAUACUUAUACUAGAAUCAUAUUCUGUGCUGUUCCAGGAGACCAUUUCAAAACCUUUUCUCAUGAGGUUGAGCAUUCUUUGAUGGCAUCAAAACAAAAUAACAAGCACAUGAAAGGAGAUUUAGUUGCGACCAUGAGAAAUAGAAUAAAAGAGUUUCAAUUCUCAUGCUUUUAGUUAUAAUUCUCUUUAAAAAGAAAGAAUGAAAAAAAGAAAACCUUAACAUUUAGAUACUAGGACAUGGCAUGUAUAUUACAUAGUAUUAUGUUAUUAAGUCACAUAUAUUUUGUAAUAACUGUUUCCAAUAACCCAAUUAAAGAAAACUCAUCAGACGAUGGGGAGACUCCUUUGCAUGUAGCUCUUAAAAAGUAACUUUGAAUAGAAAACUCCAAAAUUAACUGGAACGUGUGCUCUAUUAUUUAGGUCUCUUGAAUUAUUUUUCAAUUGUCUUACACCCACAAGACCAUCUUUUCUCCAUGUAUUUUUAUUCUGAUAUCAUUUAGGCCUUUUUCUGUUGCAGGUAAUAGAAAGUUCAGUGGAAACUGGUUCAAGCAAAAAGGGAAUUUGUGGGGUCAUGUAACUAAAAUGUCUGGGGAUAAAUCUGGCUUCAGGCAUAGCUUUAAGCAAAUACUCAAAGAAUCUCAUGAGGACCUAGCUAAUUUGUCUCAGCCUCUCAAAUGUGUUACUUCUGGGUUGGCCUCUUGGUUUCUAUAAACUCAAUUUCAAAUCCCAUGGAGAAAACAUAAAGAAAAUCACUCUGAGAGUAGUCCCAGCCAGAAACCCAUUGCAUCUCAUUGGCUCUGAUUUUGUCAUGAAUUGCAUUGUCAUGCAUUUAUCUCUACGAAAAAUGCAGAGAAUUAAUGGACUUAGGUCUAAAAGUUCUGUGCUUUAUCCCUGGUACCAAAGUGUGGGUCGAAUCCACUCAAACUCGGGGACAAAAGAAAACGGGGUGAAUCCUCAAACUGUUCUUGCUUACACUAAGGUGAGUAGAUGCUAAGAAGCCAAAAAUAAAUUUAAAAAUAUCUACUUUGCCUUCUUUAUCACUACAUAUUUUUUUCUUUGAAAAAGAUUCUCUUUCCCCUCUUUGGAAUGGUAUAAUGAACUUGACUGGUUCUAUUCCAUCAAAACUGACCACCGACGUGGCCAGGAAGCAGGGUACGCAAGGUAGUGAGAUGCGGCUGUGGAAACUUCUAAUAUUUCUUUGAUUUGUUCCAAAAUACUUGAGCCAACAAACCUGGGAUUAGAAAUGGUAGAUAAAAGCAUCAUAUUUUAAUCAUUUUUACUUCUUUCUUCUGCCCUUCUUUGUAUCUUUUGUAUGUUUUGUAUGAUCACUAAAUAAAAUAAGGAAAUAGUGUUGAGACUUUGUUCUGCUUCUGAUGUCAUUCUUGUUUUAAAGAUAAAGUCAUUAAAUACAAGAACAUUGUGUGUGGGAACAGAGCAUCUAAAGGUAGUUUGUUUCACAUAUGAAAGCUAACUUAAAAGAAUAACUUUCUUCUGAACACAUAGCAGUUGUUAACCCAUAAAUUGUCGACUUUAACAUCUUUUAAUUAUCACUUUCUAUUCUCUACUUGUAUUAAAGGUUUGUAUCCAGGCACUAUAGGUUGAUGGAAAUUGUUUUUUCAAAUUAAAGGAGAAAUUCAUUAUUUUAAAUUUCUUUGGAAUCCUAUAGAGUUUACAAAAUGUGGCUAGUGCCCCUGGAAUUGUACAGCACCAAAAUCUUAGAGCCGAUGUUCUAGAUCCCAGACUUUAAUCCCAAAGUGCUCCGGUUGCCACUAGAAAAAAAGAUGAUUGUUUCUUUUAAAAUGUAAACUACCACUACCUAGAGAAUUAAGCAGUGAGCAAAUUCCUAAACAUGUUAUAGGCUUUAUUAGAGAGUAGACUCUAGGUUUUGGCAGCCCCUUUGGAUGAAACUGGACAUUUUUAUACCAGCUUUGAACAUUGUUAACCUAGAUGAAGCCAAACUACACAGUUCAGUGGAAGCCCUAAAUAAUCUUUCUGAAAGAUGAUGUACUUCAUAAGAUCUAGAUUAUUCCAUUUUUGGUUAAUGUUUUUCUUUUUAAAAGUUCCAUUUUUCUUUUGAAUAUAGGGAAAUUAUGCCAAAAGUAAUAAUGUAAAUGUGAGGUUAAUAAGAUAAAAACUGAUUUACUGCAUUAAUAUUUUCUCCAUUUAAAGUGCUACACAAUGUAUUUUUGAAGAGAAAGAUGACUUUGUAGGAUGAAAAUACAUGUUUCAUAAUUUCUCAUUAGAUAUAGGAUUAUUAAAAUAUAUCAGUAAUAAAAUUCUGCUUGAAAACUAUCCAUUUUUCCAUUCCUCAAAGUACCCUAAACCAAGUUUUGCACAUAGUAAAUACUCUGUGUUCUUAACUGGUGAAUAAAGUUAUAAAGAAGGAAUGAAUAAAUGACUUUUUUGGAAGACAUAUUUUUGUACCUAAAUUCAAUAUAAAAUAUGAGAAAAUUUGAAAAUGUAAAUAAUAAAAAAGUGCGUGUUCUUCUAAUCAUAAAAUUAUAACAUAUUCAGAUUAUGAGACUCAGCAACAAUUAAACUGGUAGGAAUACGUAAAUGGUAAUUUUUAUAAAUUGUUAGAGGCUGAGUAUGGACUGCCACAGAGUGAGAAACUCCUGGAGGCUGUAGUCUUAUAGGGGGCUCUCACUCUUUCAAUGGGAUUUACCUCCAUUAAGUAUAUCAGAUUCUCAAAAUGAAGAG